CAUGCCAAGGCAGCUGGCUCUGGGGUGGCUCAGGACCUCAUGGCCAUGAUGACAACCAUAGGGCUGUCCCCACAUGUCACCGGCCCAAAACACAUGGCAGGCCACACUCUGGACCUUGUUUUCUCGACUAGGCAGGAAGAGGGUGAUUUGAAGGUGGGGGACAUUGACAUCAGUCCCUUGUCAAUCACUUCCUGUUGAGAUUUAGGAUAUCAGUACCUUUUCCCCUCUGCAGGGGCAGGGGACCUAUUAGGAAGGUCUGCCCUCGGAGGCUGAUGGAUCCAGUGGAUUUCACAGUGGGAUCCAGUGGAAGACACAAUCACCCCUGAGUGCCCUCUACCACUUCACAGAGCCCGAUUGGCCCCCUGGUGUACUCCAGAGCUUUGGGCAAGGAAGCAAGCUGGGAGACAGUUGAAUGCAGGUGGAGGAAAGAUCUGAAUGAAUGAAACCGAACACUGGUAAGGGCUCAUUAUCGAGCCUACCUAGUGGCAGUGAAGUCAGCAAAGAAGGCAUACUUUGCUGCCUCCAUUGCAUCUUCAUUAUGUCGUCCGGUUGUACCGGCCUUUUACAGGCUGGCCCAAAGAAGGUGAUAGCUUGCUGUGAUAGCUUGCUGUGUCUUGUUUGCAAAGCAUUUUGAGGAUAAAAUCGCUUGCAUUCACCAAUAUCUUGACUGCUGUUUUUGCAGAUGAAUCUCAUGGGGUGGCCAGAGCACAGUCUAGUCCUGUUGUGUUGGAGGAAUUUCAAUUGGUAAGUCUCGAGGAUGUAGACAAGGUGCUUGGAUCAGUCAGGGCAACCAUUUGUGCCCAGACCCUCUUGCCCCUCUUGGCUGAUAAAAACCAGCAGGGAGGGAACAGCUGGCUGGGUCAGGGAGGUCAAUGCCUCUUUACGAGGGGAUAGGUCCCUGUCUGUUUGAAGGAGGCAGUGGUAAAACUGCUUCUUAAAAAUCUUCCCUGGUUUCAGAAAACAUAACUAACUACCGGCCAGUUGCUAAUCUCCCUUUCCUGGGCAGGGUUCUGGAGCGAGUGGUUGUGGACCAGAUCCAGGUGCUUUGGGAAGAAACUGAUUUUCGGGAUCCAUUUCAAUCGGAGUUUAGGUAUGGUUUUGGCACAGAAACUGCUCACCCUGUAUGACCUCUGUUGAGAGAGAGACAAGGAAACAAGUCCCUGUUAAUUAUUCUCGACCUCUCAGCGGCUUUUGAUACGAUUGACCAUGGUAUCCUUCUGGAGCGACUCUCUGAACUAGGGAUUGGUGGCACCACUUUGCGGUGGUUCCAGUCCUACUUGGAUGGUCAUUCCCAGAGGGUUGCAGCCCUGUGGAACCUUCAAUGUGGGUUCCGCAGGGCUCAAUCCUAUCCCCCACGUGGCAAGGUAGCUCACUGGAGCAAGACGGUCUGAGCAUAUUACACCGAUCCUGGUCCACUGGCUACCAAUUAGUUUCUGAGCCCAAUUCAAUGUGCUGGCUUUGACCUAUAAAGCCUUAAACAACUUAGGACCGCAAUACCUCAAGGAACGCCUCUUUCCAUAUGAACUUACCUGGACCCUGAGAUCAUAUUCUGAGGCCCUCCUUCAUCUGCCUCCUUCUCAAGAAGUCCGGAGGGUGGCAAAAUGAAAAUGGGCCUUCUCUACAGAAUGGGCCCCAUCUGUGGAAUGCUCUCCCCAGGGAAGUUCGCCUCAUGCUUUCAUUAUAUUUAGGUGCCAGGCAAAAAUGUGCCUUUUUAACCAGGCCUUUGGUUGAUCUGUUUGAGAUCCUAUACCCUUUUAAAAUGUGGCUCUUUUCUGGUUGUUGUGUGUUAUUGGGUUGUUGUUUUUAUUUUGAUUAUAUAUAUGUACUGUAGAUUUUAUGUUGAUCUUUUCUGUGAACUGCCCUGAGACUUCCGGGUAUAGGGCGGUAUAUAAAUUCAAUAAAUAAUAAUAGUCAUAAACCACCCUGUGAUCUUUGGAUGAAAGGCAGUGCAAUAAUAAUGAUGAUGAUGAUGAUGAUGAUGCCGCCACUGGUUAAUGACCCUUGUUUGUUUAAGGAGCUAUCUGUCAAUGACAAGGCAAUUCUGGAAGGAGAGAAUGGUUUUGGUAAUGCAGCUCAGCUUUCCUUCCUCACUUGGUUGGAGGGUGAAUAUGAAAGAAUAAUAAUCAGACUCAUCUUGGAGGUGGAGAUGGAAAGACACAGAAGUCUGAUCUUGCUUCUGUGAGGAUCCAGUGCUAUGGUAUUGGGGAGCACUCCUCGAAAUAAAUCACAGCCCUCCAUAUAUCACACAGUCCCCAGUUACAGUCACUCUAAGGAAAUCAAGCCCAAGGUAUGUGCUGGUACCCCUUAAAUUUCUCAUCAGUUGAGGAUUACAGUGUGUGUAAAAAUGAACAAGGGGUGGAGUACUCAGGUGUGAUUGGUGUGUUUCUUUCUUUUCUUUUCUUUUCUUUUGCUUUUUUAUAUCCCACUUUUCCUUCAAAGAAGGUGGCGUACAUGGCUCCUCCCAUCCUCCAUGUACUGUAGUUUAGGCUGAGAGUUGCCUAGGGUCACCCAGGGAACUUCAUGGUUGAAUGGAGAUUUGGACCCUGGUCUCCCAGGUCCUAAUCUAACACCCUAUACCACAACUAACCCUAUACCACAGCAACUCAACAACUACUGCUUUGGCAACAUGUUCUAUUUACAAAGCUGAUCCUGCGAAGAGUCUCACAGAACCUAUUCAUGUCCCAGCUUUCCAGACAGCAAUCUGCCUUUUAAAAUCAGUCAGUCAUUAUCUUCAAGUGUGUCAACGCAUGCACACUCUAUGAAGCUAUUCCCUAUUUUAUGAUGACACAUCAGCCUAAUAAAUAUAUCAUAUUUUAGUUUUGCAUGUAACUGGUUCUUUAUUUGGCUGUAUGCUUUACAUGAGAUGUUAUUUAUAUUACCUCGUUCUCCCUUUGCACCUGGAAGUCCAGGAAGUCCUCUACCAGGAAUACCUGUAAGAUGAAGAUAGUAGCACCGAGGCCAGAAGUCUUGCCUGGACACAGCAUGGAGGAGAAUGGGGGAGCAUUACGGAACUCAUAUUUCUCUACCCACAUCUCUGGGGACUGUGAGAGAGCAGAAGGCAAGCAACCAGGCAACCAGGGGGAGAAUACAGCGAAAUACAGGGAUACAGGGAAAUAGAUCUGAGUGAAAAGUGAGGCCAUAGAAGUGUAAACCGCCCGGUGAUCUUCGGAUAAAGGAUGGUGUAUAAACAACAACAAGAAGAAAUGGUGUCUGUUCAUCAAGAAAGUGUUCUGAAUCUUAAAAUGUAGGUUGCCAAUUUUUCUGUUGCCUAACUUUAUUGCUAUCUUGAAAAAUUGUGAACAUAUUCAUUUUUCAGAAAAGACAGACUAUUUGUUAUUACAAAAAUUGUGACUUACACAAUUUUCAAAAAUCUCUUCACGUGUACAAAGUUGGCUUUCCUGCAAAACCCUUUUUCUGGCUCACAUGAGCAUAUUAACGUGCCAAAUCAUGAAUGAUAUUUUGAUAAGAAGAUUAUAAAACAGGACACUGCAGUUAAAAUAAAUUUUCUUACUUUCAAUCAAUACAUUUUGCUACAUCUACAAAUUUGAUCUGCAACACUGUUGAGCUCUGAAGCUGAAGUUGAGUCCACAGAUCUUACACAUGUACUAACUGCAAUGUAACAUUUACAGUUUGUGGCACAUGUCAUUUUGCUGUUUUUACACUUGCACC